CGAUGAAAGAAGGAAGAGACAAAAUCAAGACCUUACGAACAGAAACUUGAUAAGUAGGCCCACUCAAAAGGGAUAGUUGACAAAAAGCAGCGUAACCCACGAGACAUUUGAGGAGUAAAUCAAGAAGGCACUUGAGGAAAGAUAU
rnacentral:ncRNA from 1 species